rnacentral:rRNA from 1 species
GGAGCCACUAUUAAAUUUAGUAUUAUCUUUAUAAAUAAAAAUUAACCUGCCAAUGAAAAUUUUGGUAUAAAAUUUUUAGACGAUAAGACCCUAAGAAUCUUUAUUUAAUAAUACUACUUUUUAUAAAAAAAAAACUAAAUUUAAUUGGGGAAAUGAUUAAUAAAGAUAUUUAUAAAAUUUUUGAAAUAAAGAUCCUAUUUAUAGAGACAAUGAAAAAGAUACUCUAGGGAUAACAGCAUAA